AACGAACGCUGGCGGCAUGCCUAACACGUGCAAGUCGAACGAGACCUUCGGGUCUAGUGGCGCACGGGUGCGUAACGCGUGGGAACCUGCCCGUAGGUUCGGAAUAACUCCCCGAAAGGGGUGCUAAUACCGGAUAAUGUCUUCGGACCAAAGAUUUAUCGCCUUUGGAUGGGCCCGCGUUGGAUUAGCUAGUUGGUAGGGCAAAAGCCUACCAAGGCGACGAUCCAUAGCUGGUCUGAGAGGAUGAUCAGCCACCCUGGGACUGAGACACGGCCCAGACUCCUACGGGAGGCAGCAGUGGGGAAUAUUGGACAAUGGGCGAAAGCCUGAUCCAGCAAUGCCGCGUGAGUGAUGAAGGCCUUAGGAUUGUAAAGCUCUUUUACCCGGGCUGAUAAUGACAGUACCGGGAGAAUAAGCUCCGGCUAACUCCGUG
rnacentral:rRNA from 1 species